UACAGAGGGUGCGAGCGUUGUUCGGAAUUACUGGGCGUAAAGCGCGCGCAGGCGGCCCUUUAAGUCUACCCGUGAAAUGCCGGAGCUCAACUCCGUGCACGCCGGGGGAUACUGGGGGGCUGGAGACAGGUAGAGGCAAGCGGAAUUCCGGGUGUAGCGGUGGAAUGCGUAGAGAUCCGGAAGAACACCGGUGGCGAAGGCAAUCCCCUGGGCCUGCACUGACGCUCAUGCACGAAAGCGUGGGGAGCAAACAGG
rnacentral:rRNA from 1 species